rnacentral:lncRNA from 1 species
AGGUUUAUUUGAGUCCAAGACUUGCUGAGUAAUAUCAGAAUUCAUUUUCCUCACUGCCAAAAUCCAAUGUCUUGAGGUAUCACUAAGCAAACCUCUUAUUGCAAUUUUAUUUCCAAGCUAUUUGAUUUCUUAAGUCACUCCAAACACUUUACAUUGGGGAAAGAACAAAUUGGAAAGGUAUACUCACAGCAAGAAGAACAAAAUAAACAGAGAAAAGAAAAAAGGAAAAGAGGCUUUCAGUAAAAUAGUAGAAACAUGGUGGAUCUGUUCAUCUGCAGAAUGACUGAUUGAUUUCGGUUUGUGGUAGGUGAAAUGCUAUUCCUUUUUUGGGACAAGCGGUUUCUCUCUUUUGUAUUUAAAAUUCUUUUCUCACCACACCUUUUAUGUCUCAUUUGAUUACUUAUUUUCAUUCUCUCUCUGUUCUUCUUUCUUGGGAAGUAAUUUUAGAUGUGUUUCUUUAUUGCAGGCUUGCCAGACUCCUAGUCCUUUGGAAAGUUCUUCAAAGUCAAAUAUGUGUUUACAAUGAGUAAUCUCCAGUGAUGUCAGUGGGCGUUAUCCCCAUGUCCGGAGGGUAAUAGAUUGGGCCCCUGUAAUGUAAGUAAUGCCUCAUUUUCUCUUGAGCUGGAAAGUCAUCUGAAUAUGCCUUAAAUGUUUCACAAGGGAGCUGAGAGGGAGGAAGAGAGGUUUAAUAUUCCUUUUUAGUUGCAUCACUUGCAUGUUUCUCAGUUGAACUGUGGAGUCCAAACCCAGAUUUUGGAAUUGUUUAAAUGACAACUAAGUUAUUGCUUAGCUUCUCAAAUAUUUUGGCUGCUCACUUAAUCAGUCAAGCUGCCGUACUCCCCCCAACAAAUGUACUCAUGGGAGAGCAAAUGGCAAAGAACAUGAACAGCCCGAAGUAGAGUGUUAGUGCUUUUGGCAGGGAGGUGCCAGCUGUCAUUGGAAACAAGUUCUGAAUUUGCUGUGAGGAUUUUUUUAAGGAAAGUGAGUCUUCAGAAAAGUUAUAAAAGGGAAUGAAGCCCAAGGCAGCGAUUCAGCAAUGUUUACUAAUGUUAUUUAUGCUUUUAUAUUAUUAAAAAAAUGCUAGUUGAAAAAAAAUACUUCUGACAAAGCAGUUCCUUAUUCUAUAUAAAGACACACACACACAACUUUGGAGAAAGAAAAGUUGUCCCAGUUCUUGAGGUUCGUGGGCCUUGAGUGAAUUUAAUUAAAAAGAAGGGGGGAAAAAAAAAAAAAAACAGCUUGUGCUCAGAGAACAUGAAAGCCUAAACACGUGAAACUUUUAUGAGUUAUGAACAUGGGAGCUGUGCUGUAGGAAACUUGCAAAGAAGUUCUGUAGCUUUCUAGUGGAAAUCCAGCACAGAGCUAUUUCAGAUGUUUAAAGGCCUGUUCUUUCUUCAAGUAAAUGCUUGUUUUCAUUUAAAAAGGAAGAAAGGGAGGGCUGGGGAAGACAGAGAGAAAUGACUAGAACAAAUGUUAACUUUGCAAAUCCCAAGGAUCCGCAAAAGCAACACAGAUAGGGACUCAUUUCAG